AUUUCCGAAUGAGGAAACUCACUUAGAGUAAUGUCUAAGUAUCAUUAAGUGAAUACAUAGCUUAAUGAGGGGAACUCAGGGAACUGAAACAUCUAAGUACCUGAAGGAAGAGAAAGAAAUUCGAUUCCGUAAGUAGCGGCGAGCGAACGCGGAUUAGCCCAAACCAAUAAAGUUUUCUUUAUUGGGGUUGCGGACAUAUCAUAACGAAGAGGUAUCGUAAUUGAAGAGGUUUGGAAAGACUCACCACAGAAGGUAAUAGUCCUGUAUGUUAAACGAGAAGACUUCAGAUAUGAUCCAGAGUACCACGGGACACGUGAAACCCUGUGGGAAGCAGGAGGGACC
rnacentral:rRNA from 1 species